rnacentral:rRNA from 1 species
GACGAACGCUGGCGGCGUGCCUAAUACAUGCAAGUAGAACGCACAGUUUAUACCGUAGCUUGCUACACCAUAGACUGUGAGUUGCGAACGGGUGAGUAACGCGUAGGUAACCUGCCUGGUAGCGGGGGAUAACUAUUGGAAACGAUAGCUAAUACCGCAUAAUAUUAAUUAUUGCAUGAUAAUUAAUUGAAAGGUGCAAUUGCACCACUACCAGAUGGACCUGCGUUGUAUUAGCUAGUAGGUGAGGUAACGGCUCACCUAGGCGACGAUACAUAGCCGAACUUAGAGGGUGAUCGGCCACACUGGGACUGAGACACGGCCCAGACUCCUACGGGAGGCAGCAGUAGGGAAUCUUCGGCAAUGGACGAAAGUCUGACCGAGCAACGCCGCGUGAGUGAAGAAGGUUUUCGGAUCGUAAAGCUCUGUUGUAAGAGAAGAACGGGUGUGAGAGUGGAAAGUUCACACUGUGACGGUAUCUUACCAGAAAGGGACGGCUAACUACGUG